GACGAACGCUGGCGGCGUGCCUAAUACAUGCAAGUAGAACGCUGAAACUUGGUGCUUGCACCGAGCGGAUGAGUUGCGAACGGGUGAGUAACGCGUAGGUAACCUGCCUGGUAGCGGGGGAUAACUAUUGGAAACGAUAGCUAAUACCGCAUAAGAGUAGAUGUUGCAUGACAUUUGCUUAAAAGGUGCAAUUGCACCACUACCAGAUGGACCUGCGUUGUAUUAGCUAGUUGGUGGGGUAACGGCUCACCAAGGCGACGAUACAUAGCCGACCUGAGAGGGUGAUCGGCCCCACUGGGACUGAGACACGGCCCAGACUCCUACGGGAGGCAGCAGUAGGGAAUCUUCGGCAAUGGACGGAAGUCUGACCGAGCAACGCCGCGUGAGUGAAGAAGGGUUUCGGAUCGUAAAGCUCUGUUGUAAGAGAAGAACGAGUGUGAGAGUGGAAAGUUCACACUGUGACGGUAUCUUACCAGAAAGGGACGGCUAACUACGUG
rnacentral:rRNA from 1 species